GUGGGGAAUUUUGGACAAUGGGCGCAAGCCUGAUCCAGCAAUGCCGCGUGCAGGAAGAAGGCCUUCGGGUUGUAAACUGCUUUUGUACGGAACGAAACGGUCCUGGUUAAUACCUGGGGCUAAUGACGGUACCGUAAGAAUAAGCACCGGCUAACUACGUGCCAGCAGCCGCGGUAAUACGUAGGGUGCGAGCGUUAAUCGGAAUUACUGGGCGUAAAGCGUGCGCAGGCGGUGCUGUAAGACAGGCGUGAAAUCCCCGGGCUCAACCUGGGAAUUGCGCUUGUGACUGCAAGGCUGGAGUGCGGCAGAGGGGGAUGGAAUUCCGCGUGUAGCAGUGAAAUGCGUAGAUAUGCGGAGGAACACCGAUGGCGAAGGCAAUCCCCUGGGCCUGCACUGACGCUCAUGCACGAAAGCGUGGGGAGCAAACAGGAUUAGAUACCCGGGUAGUCC
rnacentral:rRNA from 1 species